CCCUUAGAUGUUCUGGGCCGCACACGCGCUACACUGAAGGAGGCAGCGUGUACUCCUGGAUCGAAAGAUUUGGGUAACCCGCGAAUCUCCUUCGUGCUAGGGAUUGAGGUUUGCAAUUAUCCUUCAUGAACGAGGAAUUCCCAGUAAGUGCAAGUCAUAAGCUUGCGCUGACUACGUCCCUGCCCUUUGUACACACCGCCCGUCGCUACUACCGAUUGAGUGAUCCGGUGAAUAAUUCGGACUGCAGCUUUGAACAGUCCCUGUUCUCGGCUUGCGGAAAGUUUAGUGAACCUUAUCACUUAGAGGAAGGAGAAGUCGUAACA
rnacentral:rRNA from 1 species